GACGAACGCUGGCGGCGUGCCUAAUACAUGCAAGUCGAACGCAGUGGGGACGGGUGAGUAACACGUGGGUAACCUCCCAUCAGAGGGGAUAACACUUGGAAACAGGUGCUAAACCGAUACUGAUGGAUGGACCCGCGGUGCAUUAGCUAGUGGGUGAGGUAACGGCUCACCAAGGCCACGAUGCAUAGACGACCUGAGAGGAGGGUGGGGCACACGAGGACGGAGAAACGGCCCAGACUCCUACGGGAGGCAGCAGUAGGGAAUCUUCGGCAAUGGACGAAAGUCUGACCGAGCAAAGCCGCGGGAGUGAAGAAGGUUUUCGGAUCGUAAAACUCUGUUGUUAGAGAAGCGGUAUCUAACCAGAAGACCACGGCUAAAUACGUGCCAGCCGCCGCGGUAAUAC
rnacentral:rRNA from 1 species